GGUAAAAUGGCUGAGAGUUAAGCGGUGGAUUGUAGUCCCAUGAACAAAGGUUUAAGUCCUUUUUUUAUCA
rnacentral:tRNA from 1 species